rnacentral:sRNA from 1 species
UCAUAAACGGGAUGGAAGCGGCAUACUCCGAUUUUACAUCGGAGAUAUAGCGUACAGCCCGACUAACC